rnacentral:misc_RNA from 1 species
CAUACGCUUCAUUGAUCUCUCUCAUAAUAAGCUGGUUGGGACAUUCCCCAGUUGGAUCUUACAAAAUAACUCUAAGUUAGAAAUUAUGAAUUUGAUGAACAACGCAUUCAAGGGAACUUUUCAGUUGCCAAAUUUCAAGCAUGGGUUGCGUAAAUUUGAAAUUUCAAGCAACAACAUCACGGGUCAGCUGGCUAAGGAAUUUGGUUUGGUCUUUCCAAAUCUGUCAUAUAUAAACAUGUCAAGGAAUAGUUUUUAUGGUAACAUUCCUUCUUCAAUUGGUGAGAUGCAAGGACUGGAGUUGCUGGAUAUGUCCAAUAAUAAUUUCUCAAGAGAGUUGCCUGGAAGUCUAUUUGUGAAUUGUACCAAUAUAGUGGUACUGAUUCUAUCAAACAACAAUUUUCAAGGGAACAUUUUUCCUAACAAUAUGAACUUGAGAAGCUUGAUGGUGUUAGAUAUGAAUAACAACAAUUUCACUGGAAUGAUAAGUGCAGAGUUGGGGAAGAUCCCCAUGUUACAAGUUUUGGACAUAUCCAAUAACAAGGUAUCAGGUACAAUUCCAAUGCAACUAUGUAAUCUAAGCAAUCUUGACAUUUUAGACCUCUCACAAAAUAUUUUAUUUGGGUCUGUGCCUUCCUGCUUCAAUGCUUCAUCACUGCGGUUCUUGUUUCUACAAAAGAAUGGUCUAAAUGGGUUGAUACCACCUGUGCUUGCUAGGAGUCCUAAUUUGGUGGCGCUUGAUCUGAGGGAUAACAAGUUUUCUGGAAGUAUUCCGUCUUGGAUCAGUCAACUUUCCAAAUUGCUUGUGCUUUCAUUGGGAGGGAAUGCAUUACGAGGUCAUAUUCCAAACCAGUUGUGUCAAUUAAGAAAUGUGAGAAUUAUGGACCUUUCGCGCAACUUAUUUUUCGGUUCCAUUCCUUCAUGCUUUAAUAAUGUAUCAUUUGGGAUGAUUGGCGAAGAUAAUUUUGAGACUGGAUCCAUAAGUGCGGUAGAGGCCACAGAGAGUAGACAUAUAGGUAUGCAGGACUUCUCAUUUAGCCGCCCUUAUAGUCCCUACAAUUCCACUCUUGAAUUAGAUUUGCCUGUGCUUUCUUGGUCUUCUUCUAAAGAAGUAGAAGUGGAAAUUGCAAUGAAGUAUAGAUAUAACUCCUACAAGGGCUAUAUUAUCAAUUUAGUGGCGGGAAUUGAUUUGUCAUGCAAUGAGUUAACUGGUAGCAUCCCUCCAGAAAUUGGAGACCUUCAUGAAAUUCAAUCAUUGAAUUUGUCCCACAAUUAUUUAACAGGAUCUAUACCAGUCAGUUUUGCGAAUCUAAAGAGUUUAGAAAGCCUAGACCUUGGCAAAAACAAUUUGAGUGGUGAAAUCCCAAGACAAUUAGUUGAGCUGAAUUUUUUGGGAACUUUUGAUGUUUCAUACAAUAAUUUGUCUGGUAGAGUCCUUGAUAAGGGGCAAUUUGGGACAUUUGAUGAAUCUAGUUACAGAGGUAACCCUGGCCUUUGUGGACCAUUCAUUCAUAGGAGCUGCAAUGCUGAUGAAAGUCCAGCAACCUCACCAUUGAUUGAUGUAGAAGAGCAAGACACUGAAGGUGGUAUUGACAUGGUGUGGUUCUAUUGGAGUUUCAGUGCAUCCUAUGUCACAAUCCUAUUCAUAUUGAUAGUAAUUCUCUGCAUCAACAGGCAUUGGCGCAUGUAUUGGUUUUACUUGGUUGAUGCCUGUAUUUAUUUUAUUUCCAUUCGGCUUUUUGGAACUGAUUGUCUAUGCGUGUAGGGUGAUGCUAGGGCUUGAAGAAAAGGAGGGAUACAUGUGUCAAUUUUUGCAUAUGCUCAACCAUUAAUUGUUGAGUUUCUCUGUUUCAGGUGUAUUAAUAAUGCCUAAAAUGUUCCUCUGUAUUAGGCUUGUCAUGCACUCUUGUGAU